rnacentral:rRNA from 1 species
AGAAGUCUGACGGAGCACGCCGCGUGAGUGAUGAAGGUUUUCGGAUCGUAAAGCUCUGUUGUUAGGGAAGAACAAGUGCCGUUCAAAUAGGGCGGCACCUUGACGGUACCUAACCAGAAAGCCACGGCUAACUACGUGCCAGCAGCCGCGGUAAUACGUAGGUGGCAAGCGUUGUCCGGAAUUAUUGGGCGUAAAGGGCUCGCAGGCGGUUUCUUAAGUCUGAUGUGAAAGCCCCCGGCUCAACCGGGGAGGGUCAUUGGAAACUGGGGAACUUGAGUGCAGAAGAGGAGAGUGGAAUUCCACGUGUAGCGGUGAAAUGCGUAGAGAUGUGGAGGAACACCAGUGGCGAAGGCGACUCUCUGGUCUGUAACUGACGCUGAGGAGCGAAAGCGUGGGGAGCGAACAGGAUUAGAUACCCUGGUAGUCCACGCCGUAAACGAUGAGUGCUAAGUGUUAGGGGGUUUCCGCCCCUUAGUGCUGCAGCUAACGCAAUAAGCACUCCGCCCGGGG